rnacentral:piRNA from 1 species
UAAACCUAUUAGGUAGUGUUGUGUGACAAA